UGGGCCGCUGUGCUCGCGGGGAAGAGCUCGCCGGGGCGCAAACGGAGGACGAGGCGGCAGGGCGCCCUCGCGGACUGAGCCUGACGGAGCCGCAGGCUCCGAGCCGCAGCGGCUUCGGGAAGUAUUUGGAUUGUGAGCUAUUUCAGAACUCUGUUCUUAAAAAAAACAUUUUGGAGAAAAACAUCCAGAAGAUGCCCACUAGACUGAAGGAGUACCAGGGAAUCUGAAGACUCUAGAUGACAUCAGAGCAACUUUUCAGCAGCCUUCUCAGUUUUCUUUCUCUGAAAGCAGAGGCUCAAACCUUGGAGACAGACGUAAGAUGAAAAUUAUAACCAUGCGUGUUCCAGUGACUUCUUUUGCCCCAGUGGUAUAACUGUUUUACCAAGUUUUCCAUCUUUUACCAAGUAACCAGAACGGUGCUUCUUGGAAACCCUGUGGGGCAGUUCUACUCUAUCCUAUAGGGUGGCCAUGAGUCGGAAUCAGCCCGACGGCAGCGGGUUUAACCUAUCUGCCUCACUGGUAUUUUAUGAACAAUCUGGCAAGAAGGUCUGGAUGCUCAGCUCAAAAGAAGGAUCUUUGGUUUCCAGCAUUGCUUCCACCCAUUUUCCCACAGCCAGCAUCUCAGUGCACAGCCUCAUCUUUUCUUACCUGAAGCUCCUGUGCUGCUUAGCCUCCUACUGGUGUCCCUGCCCCAGGCUCUCCCACAGCCACCAGACCUCCACAUAACUCCAAUUUGCUUAUCUGAUCAAGAAUAAUUCAGCAAUGCGUUAUGAACAUAGAAGAGUAACAGGCCUUCCUUAAUCGAUCCCAACUUACCUUUACAAUGGAAAAUGUUAAUAUAAUUAAAAUUUCUUCUGAAUUUGGUGUCUUCAAAGAAUUUUUUUUUUCCUUAAGUCUUUUACUUAGUACCUUAAUUGUCAUCAGCUUCUACUAAACCCAACCCACUGCCAUCAAGUUGAUUCCUACUUGGAAACAUAGGGUUUCCAAGGCUAUAAAUCUCUAUGGAAGCAGACUGCCACAUCUUUCUCCCACGGAGCCGCUGGUGGUUUCAAACUACCAACCUUUUGGUUAGCAGUCAGUCAAUCGCCUUAACCACUGUGCCAGCAGGGCUCCUUUCCUACCAUAUAGCAGCUCCUUUUUAAAUAUUUGUGAAUUUGUUAUUACUUGCAUGAUACAUUCAGAAUAGUAGUGAUGCAAAGUUAAGAGAAACUUUAUAUUCUCUUCAGUCUUCUAAUCUACUUUUAUAAAAUAGAAAUUUUUAGAGCAGUUUUAGGUUUAUAGAAAAUUUGUGCAGAAAGUAGAGUUCCCAUAUAACCCGUUUCUUUCUGCUCACAAUUUCCCAUGUUAUUAACAUCUUGCAUUCCUAUAGUACAUUUGUUACAAUUGAUGAGCCAAUAUUAAUAUAUUAUUAUUAUUAAUUAAUCUGUAGUCUACUUUAGAGUUCACUCUUUGUAUUGUGCAAAACCAAACCUGUUGCCAUUGAGUCAAUUCCAACUCAUAGUGACCCUUUAGGACAGGAUAGAACUGCCCCGUAGAGUUCCCAAGGAGUACCUGGUGGAUUUGAACUGCUGACCUUUUGGUUAGCAGCCAUAGCACUUAAUCACUAUACCACCAGGGUUUCCUUGUAUUGUGCAGUCCUAUGGAUUUUGACAAAUGCAUAAUAUCCUGUGUCCAUUAUAGUACCAUACAGAAUAAUUUCACUGCCCUAGUAUUGCCCUGUGCUCUGCCUAUUCAUCCCUGUCCUCCUCCUGAACCCCAAGUUAACUGCUAAUCUUUUUACUGCCUUUGUAGUUUUUGCUUUUUCCAGAUGUCAUAUAGUUGGAAUCAUACAAUAUGUAGCUUUUUCAUCCUGGCUUCUUUGACUUAACAAUAUGCAUUUAAGGUUGUUCCAUGUCUUUUGGUAGCUUGAGAGCUCAUUUCUUUUUAUUUCUGAAUAAUACUCCAUUGUAUGGAUGUACCACGGUUUGUUUAUCCAUUCAUCUAUUGAAAGACAUCUGAUUGCUUCCAAUUUUUGGCAGUUAUGAAUAAAGCUGCUGUGAACAUUUGUAUGCAGGUUUUUAUGUAGUCAUACAUUUUCAGUUCAUGUGGGUAAAUACGUAGGAGCAUGAUUGCUGGACCAUAUGUUAAGCCCGUGUUUAGCUUUUUAGGGAACUGCGAGGUUAUCUCUCAAAGUGGCUGUACCAUUUUGCAUUCUGACCAGCAGUAAAUGGGAGUUCCUUUUGCUUCAUAGUCUCACCAGCAUUCGGUGUUAGUGUUUUUGGUUUUCGCCAUUCUGCUAGGGAUAUAGGAAUCCCUGGAUAAUGCACAUGGUUAACAUGCUUGACUACUAACUGAAGGUUUGGAGGUUCAAGUCCAUGCAGAGGCACCUUGGAAGAAAGGCUGGUGAUCUGUUUCCAAAAAAACUGUCAUUGAAAACCCUGUGGAGGCUAGUUCCACCCUGACACACUGGGACACCAUUAUUUGGAAUCCACUCAUCAGCUGGUUAAUAGGUGUGUGGUGGUAUCUCAUUGCUGUUUUAAUUUCCUAAUGGUAGGAAACCCUGGUGGUAUAGUGGUUCAGUGCUGUGGCUGCUAACCAAAGGGUCAGCAGUUCGAAUCCACCAGGCGCUCCUUGGAAACUCUAUGGGGCAGUUCUACUCUGUCCUAUAGGGUCGCUAUGAGUUGGAGCUGACUCUAGGGCACUGGGCAAUGGUAUAAGAUGCUGAGCAUUGUUUCAUAUGCUUAGUUUCCAUGUGUAUAUCUUCUUUGGUGAGGUACCUGUUCAGUUCUUUUCCUCAUUUUUUUAAUUGGGUUGUUUCUUAUUGAGUUUUAGGAAUUCUUUUUAUAUUUUGGAUACAAGUCCUUUAUGAGAUAGAUGUUUUGUAAAUCUUUUCUCCCAUUAUGGCUUAUUAUUUUGUUCUCUUAACAGUGACUUGUGCAGAGCAGAAGUUUUUAAUUUUAAUGAAGUGCAGCAUACCAGUUUUUUUCUCAGAUGGAUUAUGCUUUUGGUGUUGUAUCUAAAAAGUUAUCACCCAGCUCGGGGUUACCUAGAUUUUCUCCUAUAUUAUCUGCUGCAGGUUGUAGAGUUUUACAUCUUACAUGAGGUUUGUGAUCCAUUUUGAGUUAAAUUUUGUGAUUGAUUUAAGGUCUGUGUCUAGAUUCAUAUUUUUGCAUGUCAUUUGUUGAAAGGACUAUCCACAUUGAAUUGCCAUUGCUCCUUUUUCAAAGAUCAAUUGACUACAUUUGUGUGUGUCUGUUUCUGGGCUCUGUGUUCUGUCCCAGUGAUCCAUUUGUUCAUUCUUCCAUCAAUAGCACAUUGUCCUGAUCAAUGCAGCUUUAUAAUAAGUCUUGAUGUUAGGUAGUAUCAGUCCUCCAACUCUGUGCCUCUUUAGUAGUGUGUUGACUAUUUUAGGUCUUUUGCUUUUUUACAUAAACUUUAGAAUCAAUUUGUUGAUAUCCCCAAAGUAACUUGCUGGGAUUUUGAUUGGGAUUGAAUUUAAUUUAUUGAUCAGUUUGGAAAGAAUUGAAGCUUUGAUUAUAUUAAGUCUUCCUGUCCAUGAAUGUGAAAUAUUGCCCCCAUUUUAAAUCUUUGAUUUCUUUCAUCAAGAGUUUUGUAGUCUUCCUCAUUUAGAUCAUGUACAUAUUUUGUUGGGUUUAUACCCAAGUAUUGCAUCUAAUCUGCUUUAAAAAAAAAAUAAUCUGCUCCUUUCCCCACCUGGCCUUGAGAUAUUUCUGCACAAAGAACAGUAUUUAUCUAGCAUAGUUACAGUAUACAUUUUUGUGAAUUAGAAAAUAAGAGAUUUUGUGUGGAUAUAAAAACCAGUAUUGCACUUGACUCUUACUUCAGUAGACCAGCAGUAGUUCUCAAACUUCUUCUUACUUUUAAACUGUUGAGGACCCCAAAGAGCUUUUGUUAAUGAGGGUCAUAUCAGUUGAAAUUUAUCAUACAAGAAAUGUAAACAGAAAAAUUUUAAAGCACAAGAAUACACAAGGACACAUUCCAUUAGUCAUCAGUGUAAUGACACACGUUUUGUAGUCUCUGAGCAACUCCCCUGUAUACUCACGAGAGAGAAGAUACAAAAGCAAAUAACAUUGUAGUGUUAUGAAAGUAGUUUUGACCUUGUGCUCUUCCUGAAUGGGUGGUGGGGACCGCACUUUGAGAAUUGCUACCUUGUGGGAAUUCACUUACCUAAUCACCAGUAGACAAUUUUCAAUUUUAUUUCAAUAAUGUUGUAACCUAGCUUUUAUAUUUGUGGAUUGGUAAGCUUUUUUUUUUUUUAAAUGUCUGUAAGACUAAUCACGUUACCCAUCCUUCUAUUAAUGUCUAGACAUAGAAUGUGCUGGAACUUAUUACCAGUGUUUGCUUGCUUGGCAGUUAUAAGACAGAGAUGCUUACUCAAGGAGAAGUCAUUUUAUUUGUGGAUACUCAGUAAGGCCAUUCCUAGUUGUGCCCUGUCAAAUACCCUGGUUUUCAAUUGCUUACCCUUUUUAUGACUUGUGUACUUCCAGAUACUUCUCUUAUGAAGCAUCUCUGUACUUCAGAGAAUUUGGAGGUUUGGUUGUUUUCUUAAUGAUUUCACUGAAUAAAGUUUGCGGCUUCUUUGGGGGGAAUAAGGAUUCUUCCCUUCAAAAUCUUUCCUCCCUCUCCUUUAUUUGACCUUCCCCUCCACUUGCCUCAACCUGAUCCCUGAUACUGGCUCUCCUUUUCAGUCUGCUCUCCGGCAGAUAUUUACUUGGCCCCAGUGACUUCUGCUCUUUUUUAUUCCCCACCCUCUUGCCUUGGCUGAUACUCUGUUAAAUUCCUUUUGAGGUCUUAGCAGGACAGUGAGUCUCUAGAGUAUUUGACAAGUCUCUUCAAAUUACAUGGGUACUGGGUCUUCCCUGAGAGUUCUGGAAAUGUAUUGUGUACCUGUCAGUUAGAUGGAGAUGCCAAGAUGGCUGCUGAUUCAGACUCUUAAUUCACUGACAGCUCAAUGUUCUUUUUACUCAUAGUCUUAUGUGUGAUGGUGUAUAGUAUGAGCUGGAUUUUCGGGACGUAGUGUCAUUAUGAGUGAUAAUCUAGAAGCACAAAGCUGGUAGAAUGUUGGAAAGUUUUUAUUUUCUUAAUUCUAUGUCUUAAACAUGGUAGACACUCAAUAAAUGUUUGCCGAGUUAAUUUUUUCCUAUUAAUAUUGAUGAAACUCAUAGCUCCGGCAACCACAUUACAGUGUUAAGCCAGACAUCUCUUAUAGCCAAAGGAAAUAGGCCUUCACACUAUUCUGAAAAGCUACAUGUUGCUGUGUUUUGUGUGUGUGUGUGUGUGUGUGUGUACAUGCACUUUAAGUGAAAGUUUACAGAGCAGAUUAGUUUCUUAUUAAGCAGUUAAUACACAAAUUAUUUUUGCGACAUUGGUUGCCAACCCUGUAUUUGUCAGCACUCUCCUCUUCUCCACCCUGGGUUCCCCGUUUCCAUUCGUCUAGUUUUUCUACCCCUUCCUGCCUUCUUGUCUUUGCUUUUGGACUGAUGUGCCCAUUAGUCUCACAUACGUGAUUGAACUAGGAAGCACAUUCCUCACAUGUGUUAUUGUUUGCCCUAUAGACCUGUCUGAUCUUUGGCUGAAGGGUGAACUGCGGGAGUGACUUCAGUACUGAGUUAAAAGGGAGUCCAGAGGCCAUACUCUUGGGGUUCCGCCAGUCUCUGUCAGACCGGCAAGUCUGGUCGUUUUAUUUCGUGAAUUUGAAUUUUGUUCUAUAUCUUUUCCCACUGUGUCCAGGACCCUCUGUUGUGAUCCCUAUCGGAGCAGUUGCUAGUAGUAACCCAGCAUCAUCUAGUUGUUCUGGGUUCAGUCUUGCAUGUUACUGUCUUAAUAAGCAAAACACUUACUUCAUACUUAAUGAAGAUUGAUAUUUGAAAUGUAUGUCAUUCAGAUUUCCAACAGGAUCUGACUCUAAGCUUUCUUUUUAAAUACCUGUGGAACCCUGGAGGUGAAGUGGUUAAGAGCUUGGCUGCUAACCAGAAGGUCAGUAGUUUGAAUCUACCAGCUGCUCCUUGGAAACCCUGUGAAGGGGAGCAGUUUUGCUCUGGUCUGGCCUACAGAGUUGCUAUGAGUUGGAAUCAACUUGACGGCAAUGGGUUUGGUUUUCUUUUUUUUUUUUUUUCUUUUUUGGAGCCCUGGUGGUGCAGUGAUUAAGAACUUGGCUGCUAACUAGAAGGUGGCAGUUCAAAUCCACCAGGUGCUCCUUGGAAACCCUCUGGAGCAGUUCUACUUUGUCCUGUAGGGUCAUUAUGAGUCGGAAUUGACUCAGUGGCAUUGGGUUUGGUUUUUUUCGUCUACAGGAAUUAUUAUUUUUCUUGAAACUUUGUGCAAAUCAUGUCAACACAGUGUUUUUAAAAAACGAGGCUUGAGAUACGGUAAUUAUUUUCAUCAUUUAAUGAAGUUGCUAUUAAAUAACCCCCUAUUUUAUGGCACUGUUUGUGUAAUACAAAUUGUUUUCAAAAUAUUCAAACCGGUCUUCAUUGUAUUUUAGAGCUGUCUUUUCCUACAACCUUCUUGUUCCUGCCUUCUUUUAACUGUCAUUUCUUCUCUGUACUAACUGGCCUAUGAUCUCUUCUCCCCUCCAAGCUAUAAAGAACUCUUCAGUUUUUCUUUGUCUUCUUUUUUUUUUUUUUAACAUGAAUUUAAUCAUACCAUUCCCUGUAAACCUUCUACUGUCCGGCAGACAAAGGCCAGCUCCUUGGCAUGGCCUUAAUUCAAAGCGCUUGGUCCCAAUUGCCUUUCAGCUUAAUCUUCAGUCACAUUGGACCAUCUCCCUUCCUGUAUCACACUGAGCUCUCCCCUGCCUUUGAGUGCUAUUUCUGUAACCUAGAAUGUGCUGCCAUUCUCUUCUGCCUGGCGAGCCCUUACUCAUCUUUUAAACCAUCCCUGACCACCAUCUGCACACACAUAUGAGCUAAAAACCUAGUUACAACCUACUCUGUGUCCCUAGAACACUUUUUAAAUACUCAGCCAUAGCAUUUAGCACAGUACAAACUGUGACUCCUUUUGCACAGCAGUUUAGGUAGAAAUGCAUACGUACUGUUCACACUUGUGUUACCUACUUGCUAGAUUACUUUUUUCCUAUCCCAUUCGGGAAAGCAUAUCUGAAUUUAAGUGGGUGAAAGUAUAGUUGUUACUCAUCAUAUUCUUGAAUUUAUGUAAUCUAUAUUUUUUUGAAGACAAUAAUUUGCACCCUGUUGGACCUUACUAAAUUCUGUACUUUAAAUAUAAUGACAGCUUACAUGUGUGACAAACUAACAUAUCAUAGAUGGUGAUACAUUAACUGUAAGAUGUUGCAUUUUAAAUAUCAUAGGUAUUUGUUCCACUGGACUAUUUCUUGAGAACUAGGACUUUUUUUUAAUCCUCAGCACUUAGCAUAUGGUGUUGUUAGCUGCUGUUGAGUCAGCUCCCGACUCUCAACGAGCCCAUGUACAACUGAGCAAAACAUUGUCUGGUCCUGUGCCAGCCCCGUGAUCAGUUGCAGAUCAGACCAUUGUAAUCCACGGGAUGAUUUUUUGAAGUAGAUUGCUAGGCUGUUCUUCCUGGUGUGUCUUAGUUUGAAAGUUGUGCUGAAACCUAUUAGCAGUAUGCCGGUCUCCACCAACAGACUGGAUGUGGCUACCCAUGGGGUACGUUGGUCUGAACUGAACUCGGAUCUCCUCAUGAAAGGCAAGAAUUCUACCACUGAACCACCACUGCCCGCCUACCAUAUGGUGGUUGUUUCUUGCCAUCAAGUCAGCUUUAACUCAUGGUGACCUUAUGUAUAACAGAACAAAAUGUUGCCCAACCCUGUGCCAUCUGUGGCUGUUGUAUCAAUCAGUAGCUGUUUAUGAAUACUUAUGAUGUGAUAAGAAAUUCAAGUUCUGGGUAAGUUAGGUAAUGUAUACAAUUCAUUUACAACACUGAUUCCUUUUUCCAAACUCAACCUACCCCCCAUUACUUUUUUAAUAGGCCUCCUGUGAUUCUUCAGUCAACUUUUGAAAAUCCAUUUUGGGAUCUUGGCUUGACACAAAAAAAUUGAAACAUACAUCAAGAUCACUAAUUCGUUAUCAUUUACAUUUAAAUUGUGAAUAUAACCUAGAACUGAUUUGAAGGGAUGUGAUCUGAUAGUAGGCAAGGUGUGAUCUAGUUUGUGCUGUCUUCUUUGCUCUUCAUAAAAAGUGACUGCCACAAAUGUGCCUGGGGACAGAUGCUCAAUUUGACGGAUUCAAAUACCUGUUGUAUUAUCUGUUACUUUUUGUUUGUUUUGAUAUUACUUGAACUUGACUUUCGUUACACUUUUUUGUGGAAGGAAAGUGGAUAUCAUCGUCAUCAUCUCGAUUUUACACAUAAGAACACUGAGAUUCAUAGAAGUGAAGUGACCAGUAAUGGAUCCUCUACUGCUCUGUUUUGUGAGGAAAACUCAUUUACUGAUAAAACCAAAACCAAACCCAGUGCCAUCGAGUCGAUUCCGACUCAUAGCGACCCUAUAGGACAGAGUAGAACUGCCCUGUAGAGUUUCCAAGGAGCGCCUGGAGGAUCUGAACUGCCGACCCUUGGGUUAGCAGCCGUAGCACUUAACCACUAUGCCACCAGGGUUUCCCAUUUACUGAUAAAAAUUAAUUCUGCAUUACCAGUAUAUGAGGACUGUUACUUCAGCAACUAAGAUAUAAAGACCUGUGCUAAAUUGCUAAACAUCACCUUUUCUUACACUUAAAUUGUUGUUGUUUUGGCUCUAGAGUAAAUCUAGUGAUUGAAAAACUUGCCUACUGUAGCUACUAAAGCUUGAGGACAUUGCCAGCGAAGAAUCAAACACCCUCUGCUGGUAUUAUUAGGUUCUCUUUUUUGGCCCACUCAUUGGAAAUGCGAAAACAUAAUAACAAAUGUCAUUCUGAUUUCUUAUAGCAUAUGCCUGGGCUGUAUGCUAUAUACACGAAAUCUGUGACUUUAACAGCUAAAAGCUUACUCUUUUUUAAAAUGAAAAUUCUAGGGAUUAAUGUUGAUGGAACUAUUCCUAAGUCACUGUGCUGAAAAACUAAAAAAUACAAAUAGUGCUCUAAGUUUUACAUCCAAUAUGCUAAAAUAUAUUCAAGAAAACAUUUGACCCAAAUUCUUUAAUAAGCACACAUGGAGGAUUGUUUAGUUUUAAGAACUAAUAGCUUCCCCCUUUUUUGUGAUUGCUUGCGUACAUAAUUUGUUAGGAGAGAAUGAUUCUAGGUAAACUGUCUCUCCAGAAUGCCCGUGAUUUGUUCUGUUCUGCUUGGGAAGGGUUAAGAGGAGACAGCAUCCUGUCAGAGACCUUGUUUUUAAUUUUGCCUCUCACGCUGGCACAGAUCCUGCUCAGAGCAGCCCAGAUUAGUUCAGAAAACCUUUGAAGAGAUUUAAGAUGUCCUUCAGCCAGUUUGAAGGUUUUUGUCUUGCAAAUCCAGUACAAGGGCGCCUGCAGGCAUCUCGACCCUUGCUGUGCUGCUGAUGCAGCUCAAGGUCACACUAACCCGCCCUGUGACAUUCAACAACAACAAAAAAAAUUAUGCGGUGAAACUGCCUCAGCGUUCAGCCAACCAACAACUUCCUUUAGUGAGGAACUGAGGAAGAAGUCUUUUUUUUUUUUUCUUUUCUUUUCUUUUUUAGGGGCUUCGUGAAUUUUUGCUGUAGGAAAUAAUCCUGGAUUUCUGGUGUGUGUGAUGACAAGGUCAUUUCUUAAUUAGAACACAUGUAAAGAACAAAGCUAAAUGGCUUCAAAACAGCUUUGUAGUUGAUGGAAAGGGUUUAAAUUAUUUAAAGAGAUAGUCACCCAAGUAUGAUGGAAGCUGAAUUCUAAAGGCAUUAACUCCUUCAUGACUGUCUGCUUGCCAUUCCUUUCUUUGAGUUCCAUUUGUGUUUGACUUUAUAGGGUUGCACUCUAAACUUAAGAAAAUCUCUAAAUGCCCGUUUUGAGAGGGGUGAAACAUAAUUUAUAAAUCAGAUUCUCAGAUAAACUUUUAAUGGAGAAAUUUCCCUCCCCACCCAUGACAUUCAUCUUCUGGAAAUUUUAUCAAAUAGCUUGACUUAAGAACUAGGAAUUCAAAGUUUUCCCCCUUGGCAACUGUGAUGUAUUUAUAAUGUGUUGGAGGGGGUGAGUAAAGUGCUCCCUUAUCCCUCACCUUCUCCGCCUCACUUGUACUCAUUUGUGAUUUAGAAUUCUAGUUGAGCAAUUUAACUCCUGCUUGUUUUUUUUUUUUCCUUAGAAAUUAUAGCGCAUACCAUUCAGGCUUCUGGACUUUUAAAGAAUUUGUAUGGGAAGACAUGCUUAUUUUUAAGGAAAAAAAUAAUUUUAGUUGAAAAUGGACUUUAAGAAAGUUGUUUCUGAACAUUCAUGACCUUAUAAAGCCUUAUAACUAGCCAUAUUGAAGUCCCUCUCUUUGUGAGGCUUGUUUUCCCAUGUUAUUCGUCCUUUGUUGCCUCUGAGUGCUAACUACCAAAUACAUUGGUUGGCUAGAUCCUAAGUGAAUUGGCUUUCUAUGCUUGAGACUUAGCGCAUAUCGCCUGUGCAGAAUUAAAGAAGAAUAAUCUGAGAGAGUAAUUUUAUGGUCGAUAUUUUCUUUGUAUGUAUUAUAUAUAGAAGCAUGCAUUGUAGUUAUUUCUACACAAAAUCACAUCGUGUAGAGAGAUUUAACUUUGUUAUUAGCAUAACAGUUUUCUCAGAAUUCAUACUUGGUACCUCAAAGAGAUACUUUCAUGUAGUGUGACUCAAGUAGCAUCAGGGCCAACCCUUUCUGACGACAGGUAGUAUUAAAGUAUGAUUGUUCGAGCUGUUACGUUGGGUUUUGUGGGCCACUCUUAGAAAAUUUAAGUUUGAGGGGGUAACAUGAUGGAUUGUAUAAGAAUUAUUAUUUAUGAAUGAUUUUCCUCCUGUUAAGAAGCAAUUUAUUUGGGUUCAUGAAAAGGAAGAGGGUGUACAUGAAGAGACAACGCUUUUAAGUAUGAGUAUUUAAAGGAUUUCAGUUUUACAGAAAAAGAGUGUUGGAGGGGAAAUCUACAUACAAGGAAAUGGUUAGUGUGUAUCUGUGCAUCCCUGCCCUUGUCUGGAGGCUGGUAUGCCCUUAAUGUCAUGUAUGACCCAAGCUCACCUGCUAGUAAUUUCUAAUUUACUGUCCUAAUUCAUCGAUUUGUUAUCACUAAUUGUUCUUCAUUUACUUCUGUGUAGUUUCCAGUACCUAAAGGGUUGAAAGGUUGCUGUAAUUGGCACCCGCAGCUGCUCUUUCUUUUGACAGGGGAUAAUUUUGCAGCCUAUGCUUUGUGUGACAGCUGCCUAAUUGGGCAUUCUCCCCUUGUAGCAAGCCUGCCUCCUCCAGCCUCCCUGCUGACAAAUGGUGGUGGAUUAUAGAUGAGGACACACUGACCCAUUCGACCUUGCUGAGACAGCGGGGAGGGGCCUCCUGCUACUUGAGGGAAGCUUUAGGUCAUUUAAAGGACAAGGUCAUGAGCCAGGUGGGGAAAUGACAUGAUAUCACAUGACAAUAGCCUGAUGACAUGGUCAGCGUGUCAAGGACAAAUGCAUCCCUAUCGAUUAAACAUUUUUUGCAACACUUCAUUGAAGUCCCUCGUAUUUUUUAAUUGUCCCUGCUGAUGUUUGUUUUUAUUUUAGUUUUUAAGACAAAGGAGGAGUGCAGAUAAAAGGCACAGGUAUUUUUGGAGUGUUAAACCAGUUGUUGACAUGAAAACAGAGCCAGCUUAGGAAGCCUCCUAGUAAGUUUCUCUGUUUAUUGAGGGUAUUUUGUUCUUAAUUAUUUUGCUUAGUUUGCAUGCCCCUUGCCUCUUGGUACUUUUCAAGAGUUGUUUGAAAAUCAAAGCAGGCAAAUUGAAAUGAGAUAAUGUGUGUUAAAAAAAUAUUUAACCACGUCUUUCAUCAUCCUGCUCAGUGAUUGACAUACCUUUCAUAUUUUGAAUAGCAGAAAAAUAAGCCCAAUAAAAUUGAAAAUAAUCUCGAAACUCUGGAUUUAUGAGAUUAAAAUACACUGCUGUGCUACCAUAGUUGUAAAGUGUUAAAAAUGUAAAAUAAUAUUUGGGACCUGAACCUUUUUUAAAAAAUCGCUUGGGAUUGUACUUUAUUGUAAAAACUUCAGGAUGUGUGAAAAAUCUCUUGUACAUCUUCUAGUAUCAGUAGCGUGUGCGGUUUUCUGGAGGAAGUCGACUUGAGCUAUUACAGACCAUUUUUAAGCACAAAAUCUUAAUCCUUGCAGAGUCAAUUAACCCUAUAUUAAUAUUUGAAAGUGUCAAGUCCAUGAAAAUUGUACUGGAUAGUUCAACUUAAAGGAAAAAAAAAAAAACCCUAUUUGAAAAGCAGCGAACAUUUUAAAGCAGAGAAUACUGAUCAUGAUCCCAUUCCUGGAGAAAAACAAUCAUAGUUGGGUCCUGUUGGGGCUAAGCCUUCAGUUCAGCAGGAGGUAAUUUUCUGCCCCUGAGAUAAAAAUCCAGCAGUGGUAAAGUCUGAUGAAUUAGUUCACCGAAGUACAAACAUCUGUAUUUUUAUGACACGUGCAUGUAGGGGGGGUGGGUGUGUGUGUUUAAUUUUGACCGUGCUGUGCUUGUGUUUAGCUGCUCUCACACCCUGACUCAAGCUUGGUGGAGGUUUAAUCCUGUGCCCUUGUACACGUAUACUUGAUUAGUAGUUGUGGUUAUCUCAGCAGAAGACAUACCGCCCUCCUCCUUGUAUUGGUCAGGACCUGGGCACUGGGGAGUCAAGGCAAAGGAGAAAGAAAAGAGAUUUUACAUUAGUAUUCUAUGAAAGCCUUUCUGUCUGCAGAACAAAUUGAUUGCUCCGUUGUACCUGUGCUUGGCACCACUGCUGUGAAAGAAAGGUAGGGUUGUAAUCUGUUUUAUUGUAUUACAUAUUGUGACACUCCAGGAAUAUUUAACAUGCACGCUUUCUAUGGCACGUGCUGUAAGUCUAAGUAAGGAGAAAGAAAAUAAAUGAAUGGAAAGUAUAUGAGAGCAUUGGGCUGCAGCUUUGUUUACUUCAGCCCACGAGAGUUCAUUCUAAUAAGAUAAUUUUGCCGAAAGCGUCAUUGGGAACAUAACCUGAUUGAUAACGAAACCCUAUAAGGUAUUCUGAGGCACAGAUCUGCUUCAGUGCUUGAAAUGUGUCAGGCAGAAAUGAAAUUCAAGCUAAUAUAAGAUUUUAACCACAGAUGACUGAGAGAAGUGAUGGAGGUGGUUAUGGACAUGAUUAGUACGGGAAAUGAUAUUUAAUUAUUUUUCAGUGUAUAUUAUUGUAUUGUUAAAGAUCCUACAUAACAUGGUACAAAGAUAGAAGAGGUAUGCUUAUUAAAAAAAAAAAAAAGACG